AGCACUUAUCUUUGAUAGUGCUGGCUUUUGUAAGUCCGACGUGUUCUGUACAACAGGCACUGCCUUAUGGCUAGGGAUUAC
rfam:Methanoplanus limicola DSM 2279 chromosome, whole genome shotgun sequence.